CACAAGUGAUGUUUUACUCACGAUGGUCUUCAGACAUUAUAUGUUGAAAUUGCCAACUGGCAUUUUGCUGAUGUGACUUC